GACGAGCCACCCAAACGUUAUUCGGAAUUACUGGGCUUAAAGGGUGCGUAGGCGGUGCAGCAAGUCGGGAGUGAAAUACCUCAGCUUAACCUGGGAACUGCAUUCGAGACUGCAUUGCUAGAGUAUGGGAGAGGGAAGUGGAAUUUCCGGUGUAGCGGUGAAAUGCGUAGAUAUCGGAAGGAACAUCAGUGGCGAAAGCGACUUCCUGGACCAAUACUGACGCUCAUGUGCGAAAGCGUGGGGAGCAAACAGG
rnacentral:rRNA from 1 species